rnacentral:rRNA from 1 species
UACGGAGGGUGCGAGCGUUGUCCGGAAUCACUGGGCGUAAAGGGCGCGUAGGCGGCAGGCCAAGCGUGCGGUGAAAGUCCGGGGCUCAACCCCGGAUCUGCCGUGCGGACUGGUUUGCUAGAGCACUGUAGAGGCGAGUGGAAUUCCGGGUGUAGCGGUGGAAUGCGUAGAGAUCCGGAAGAACACCGGUGGCGAAGGCGGCUCACUGGACCGGAACUGACGCUGAGGCGCGAAAGCGUGGGGGAGCAAACAGG